rnacentral:rRNA from 1 species
CGGACUGCAGUCUGCAACUCGACUGCACGAAGCUGGAAUCGCUAGUAAUCGCGCAUCAGCCAUGGCGCGGUGAAUACGUUCCCGGGCCUUGUACACACCGCCCGUCAAGCCAUGAAAGCCGGGGGCGCCUGAAGUCCGUGACCGCGAGGGUCGGCCUAGGGUGAAACCGGUGAUUGGGGCUAAGUCGUAACAAGGUAAC